rnacentral:rRNA from 1 species
GACGGAGGGUGCUAGCGUUGUUCGGAAUGACUGGGCGUAAAGGGCGCGUAGGCGGCUUGGCAAGUCGGGUGUGAAAGCCCGGGGCUCAACCCCGGAACGGCAUCCGAUACUGUCGGGCUGGAGACCGGGAGAGGAGGGUGGAAUAUCCAGUGUAGAGGUGAAAUUCGUAGAUAUUGGAUGGAACACCAGUGGCGAAAGCGGCUCUCUGGCCCGGAUCUGACGCUGAGGCGCGAAAGCGUGGGGAGCAAACAGG